CGAGAACGCUGGCGGCGUGGAUUAGGCAUGCAAGUCGAACGGUAUCAUCCUUUCGGGGGUGAGAGAGUGGCGAACUGGUGAGUAACACGUAGGUUAUCUACCCUCAAGACGGGGACAACCCAGGGAAACUUGGGCUAAUACCGGAUGUGAGCAACUUUUAGUUGUUUGAAAGGUGGCGUAAGCUGUCGCUUGGGGAUGAGCCUGCGUCCUAUUAGUUAGUUGGUGAGGUAACGGCUCACCUAGGCAAUGAUAGGUAGGCGGCCUUAACGGGUGGUCGCCCACACUGGGAUUGAGAUACGGCCCAGACUCCUACGGGAGGCAGCAGUCGAGAAUAGUCUACAAUGGUCGGAAGACUGAUAGUGCGACGCCGCGUGAACGAUGAAUCCCUUCGGGGUGUAAAGUUCUUUUAUAUGUGAGCAGUGCUUCUUAUAUUAACAGUAUGGGGAGAGAGAUAUUAGCAUAUGAAUAAGCAACGGCUAACUCCGUG
rnacentral:rRNA from 1 species